AUUGUCAGCUUUCUGCUUCCUUCACCUCCUCCUUCACUCGAAGUCAUCUAAUGAGCCACAGAGAGUGAAGAUGAUAUCCUAGAUGAUGACACCUACCUGAACACAUCUCCCUGAAGCCCAGUGGCUCAAGUACAAAAGGCUGGCAUUAUAUCAACCCACCUGCUUCUGGAAGAGAGAGAGGAAAAAAAUCAGAAUCACUCAACCUGCAGAUUGCUGUCAGCUUGUGAUUAUGUGAAUGAAACCCUGAAGACAUAUUCAGUGUUGUUGAACAGCUUCUGAGCACAUCCCCUGAAGUUAAAACAAAUGUCUGGACACAGAGAUGAAGAGAGAGCCUGGAAGUGUAAGUUAGUUUACAUGGGACUCAACUAAAUUUUAUUUCUCCAAGAUCGCCGCCUCCCUUUUGUACCUCUGAUAUAAAAAUGCAUGUGUUUGUACCAGAGUAAAGUGACAAAAGUCAGACUUCAAUGCAAAUGACAUUUAAAUAAUUCUUUUUUAAAAAGUUGCAGAAGACUGCAACUUCUGGACUCCUGUAACAACUGAGGAGUACAAACUAUUUGACAGAACAAUGAAAAAAAAAAUCCAUCCUAAAUACUGUAGAGCAACUUCUGAAUGUGUUUUUCCUACUAAGGGAGUUGUCAGUAAUAAGCAAAAUUUCUGAGAAGGUUGAGCAAAACCAGAGUGGAAUGAAAACCAACUGGAAUGACAUGCUGGGCCAAACAACUGUAUUUCUUCCGGGGAUACUUUGAAACAAAGCCUCAGGGAAGAAAAUGACUCAGAGAUGUCAUAUUUAAGCAAAUAAUUUGAACCAUGUGCUGGUAUGAGCUGUUAUGCUCUACCAUGCUCUAGUUGAUAUAACAAAGAGGUUAUCAGAAGCCAUAAGGGAAAAUUCAUGAAUCCCUUUGUGAAACUGAGUACUAAAGCACCAGUGUUUGGAUACAAGAGCUUUGCAGACACAAAAAGGACCCCAAGAUCUGCUCUAACAGUGAGGGUGUAGAAAAUUGAACGUCCAUUUAAUCACCUGUUGAUCCAUUACUAUGAUGGAUGCUUCAGGGAAAAAGUAGCCAAUUGCCCCAGAAAUAUCUGCUCAACAUACUUUUAUGAUCUGAGCACUGACACAGAUAAUUUUUUUUUGUAAUCUAUUGAAGGCCAAUUCAAACAGUAUUUUUACUCUUAUUAGAAACAUUAGGUUUAGGAAUACUUCAGAAGAGUACUACUCUAGUCUAAAGUUGACCAGUCUGGGUUCUGUGGAGCUUUAGUUUUUGAAAAUCUUAACAGUUACAGCAUGACAGAAAGUGCUUUCAGCUCAUAUAAAUUAGUGAAGCCCCCCCCACCAAAAAACAAUAUUAUACAGGAUUCUUGUUUACAGGACUUUUCAGAGGAUUUAUUAGGCUCAUAUAGACUUUGAAUCUCUAAAGGUGGUUACAGAAUGCAUUUCCCCAAUAUAUUGGUCAACAGGACUCUUUUUGGAAAAAUGCUUAGAAAUAUCUUAAAUAAAUAUUGUUCAAUAGAUCAGAGUAUGGGACCUCUGAGAAAAUCCAAUCUCUUUCCUUCCAAUGGAAUGAAUAAUAGCUAAAUCUUUUUUAUGGAUGGGUACAUUUUAAUCCAAUUUCAUUUUACUCAGCUGUUUUUGGCCAACUUUUGUUUUGACAAAAGGGCCAUCAGAAACACAAAGCCUUUUUAUUAAUUGCUCAAGGUUUCUCUUUCUUUUUUGACAAUUAGUUGAAUACUACUUCACACAGUGCUGCAAAAUAAAGAUAAAGUAGCUUCUAUUCACUUUUUGAAGGUUUUUGGAAAUCUCUACUUUAACUUUGUUAAUUUAAAAAUUUUAAAGGCCCCAUUCCAUUGGCACACAAGUUGGAUUUGUGAUAGAGUUUGCAGCAGAGCUUGAUUUGCAUUGUUUGAUAUAAAUAAGGUAUUUGGCAAAAAUGGGAAAUAAAAUUCUGAAAGAUCUAUGAUAAUCAUCAGAAAAGUCACAUGAAAAAUGAAUUGGACAGGCAAUUCUUUAAUCUUUCAUUGUAUUUUCCACCUUUUAUGAAGGGAGAAAUGGGUUUAACUGUUGCUAUCUGAUUGGCAAAACAAUUUCUGGGCUUGUCCUAUUUUUACUGGGUUUGAUUUAAUUUUAUUAAAGUUCCUCAAAAUUUCAAAUUUCAAACUAAAAAAAGCCAGCCUUUUGAAUAUCAACCCACCAAUCCAAUAUGUCAAGAAGCAAACCCCAGAGACCUACUAGUCCAGCUUACAUGUUAUUCAAAAUGUGACCUAGAUAUUUCCUACCAGUUCUAUGCUGAUUAAAUAUGUGACAUUUCAUGAACACAGUCCACAUUCAAUGCUUUCUCAGAUCAUAUAACCAUAUGCUUUGAAAGUCAUUCACUGAAUAUUUAGCUAAAUGAAUCUAUGCCUCCAUUGAACCAGAUCACUGGUGGUCAUGGCAUGACCAGUUUUUAAAAAUUGGAAUGUUUAACUUUGGGUAACAGUCAUUAAUACAAAGUGAAGUGGACAAAUAUCCUUGGGUCAGAGAAAGAGAAAAGAAAUCAGCACAACUUAACAUAUUUAUAGGGCUAUAAUCUUGCUUUUUCCUCAGUGGAGAAGCAAAAAUCAGUUAAUUUUUUUAAUUCAUCUUGUUUUUCCUCAGUUCUUAAAAAACAAGACAAAUUCCUCUUUUCUACACAAGAUAAUUUUCAGAGUGAAACCCAAAAUCUAAUUGGUAAGGAAGCAGGAAGAAACCCUGAAGUUGUCUAUUCAAGGUAAUACUGUGUGUACAGUAUUCAAAUAGAGAACAUCAGAGUGGCAGAAGCUAGGUAUUCUCUUCACUAGCAGCAAUAUAGCACACAGGCAGCUAUCGUGUUUUAAAGAGAUCCUUGUUUUCCUUAAUAUCAUGUUAUGUAUGUAUCACCCUGUGUUGGCAUCUGAGAACUCUCUUAUUCAGAGAGCCUUUGAAAUAUGAAUUAUUGAUCUUAGCUCCUGGUGACUAUUAUCCUAUGGUGCUUUGUAACCAUUACCUCUUCUUCCAUUUUCUAUUAACCUGCUAGUAGAGACUGUGGAAAGUAAGAUCAAGGAGUGAUUAAAUGGAUCAUUUUCAUUAUUAACACCUACCUUGCAUUUUACAGGUACAUCUAGUGGUGCACCACCUUCUGGAGAAACCAAGGGCUUUGUUACAGUAACAAAUCUGGUCCAGUGUGAUAUUACAAGUAUAAAAAAUAUUCCAUUCUGUAUCAAAACUAGGCACAUGCCUUUAUUUAUAGUAACAGAAGUUAACAGAGUUGAGCAGUUUUGCCUUGGGUCCUGUUUCUUGGCAUCCUACAUCUGACAAACACAUCUCUCAAGAUGUCUCUGCCCAGAACUCCAGGGAUCUAGUCUCAGGGUCAUCUGUCGGUAAUGGAAGGUGAAAUCACACUUGGAUCUAUAGUGUAUCAGAGUACAGCAGUCCCUCCGUAUCCAUGAUUUUGCUUUCUGUGGUUUGUUACGGUCAACCAUGGUCCAAAACAAGUUUCAGGCAUCCACCAGAGAACUUGGAACCUACUCCUUGUGGAUAAGGGGAGACUACUGCAAUACAGUCCUUACCAAACCAGUAGAUAAGUAUUCCUUAAUUUCUUGUUCUCUUUUUCCUAAAGAGUUUGUAUAGAAUUGUUUUUAUUAUUAUUAUACUUUAAGUUCUGGGAUACAUUUGCUGAAUGUGCAGGUUUGUACAUAGUUAUACAUAUGCCUUAGUGGUCUGCUGAAUCCAUCACCCUGUCAUCUACAUUAGGUAUUUCUCCUAAUGCUAUCCCACCCCCAGCCUCCAACAGGCCCUGUUGUGUGAUGUUCCCCUCCCUGUGUCCAUGUGUUCUCAUUGUUCAACUCCCACUUAUGAAUGGCAAUAUGUGGUGUUUGGUUUCCAUUCCUUUAUUAGUUUGCUGAGAAUGAUGGUUUCCAGAUUCAUCCAUAUCCCUGCAAAGGACAUGAACUCAUCCUUUUUUAUGGCUGCCUAGUAUUCCAUGGUGUAUAUGUGCCACAUUUUCUUUAUCCAAUCUAUCACUGAUGGGCAUCUGGGUUGGUUCCAAGUCUUUGCUAUCAUGAACAGUGCUGCAGUGAACAUACAUGUGCAUGUGUCUUUAUAAUAGAAUGAUUUAUAAUCCUUUUGGUAUAUACUCAGUAAUGGGAUUGCUGAGUCAAAUGGUAUUUCUAUUUCUAGGUCCUUGAGGAAUCACCACAGUGGCUUCCACAGUGUUGAACUAACUUAUACUCCUACCAACAGUGUAAAAGUUUUCCUAUUUCUCCACAUCCUCUCCAGCAUCUGUCUCCUGAUUUUUUAAUGAUCACCAUUCUAACUGGCAUGAGAUGGUAUCUCAAUGUGGUUUUGCUUUGCAUUUCUCUAAUAACCAGGGAUGGUGAGCUUUUUUUCAUAUGUUUGUUGGCUACAUAAAUGUCUUUUCUUGAGAAGUGUCUGUUCAUAUUCUUUGCCCACUUUUUGAUUGGGUUGCUUUUUUCUUGUAGAUUUGUUUAAGUUCUUUGUAGAUUCUGGAUAUUAGCCCUUUGUCAGAUUGGUAGAUUGCGAAAAUUUUCUCCCUUUCUGUAGGUUGCCUGUUCACUCUAAUGAUAGUUUCUUUUGCUGUGCAGAAGCUCCUUAUUUUAAUUAGAUAGCUUUUGUUGCCAUUGCUUUUGGUGUUUUAGUCAUGAAGUCUUUGCCCAUGCCUAUGUCCUGAAUGGUAUUGCCUAGGUUUUCAUCUAGGGUUUCUAUGGUUUUAGAUCUUAGGUUUAAGUCUUUAAAAGUCAUUAAGCUUAAUGUGGUUGACUGUGUUGUUCAGCUCUUGUAAAAUUAGUAAGAGCUAACUUUUAGCUACACUAGCAAUUUCUGAGACUUGGGUAUUAUUAAAAUCUCUAACUAUGAAUGUGAACUUGUCUGUAUCUUCCUGACUUCUAUACAUUUUGGUUUCAUGUAUGUUAAAGCUCUGAUAUGAAGCACAUGUUGAAUUUCUGAUGUAUCAAUCAUUUAUCAUUAGGAAGAGUUCAUAUUUGUCUCUAGCAAUGCCCCUUGUUUUUAAGUCAUCUUCAUUGAGAUAAUAUUUUGGGGUUUAUUUCAUUUUGCUCAUUCCUCAAAUUUCAAAAUUUCAGAAAUAGGAUAUUGAAAUAUAUGAUUAAAAGGAGUAUAUUCAAGAGAACACAAGAACAACCAGCUUCCUUCCAUUUUGGAAUUAAGAUUUUUAAAAAGACAAGCUGUUAAAAUCUGGUUUCUCUUCUAGUCUAAUAUGCUGAGAAACAGAGUCCUGGUUAGGAAAUCUUAGCUGAAACUAUUUUCAAACAAUUAUGUUUCAGUAUUCACAGUCCGCUGGAAACGCACUUGCAGCCUUCCUGGCAACAGAGGUGAAAUAAUAAUAAAAGAUGACCUGAGACAUAUCUAAACAGACAAUAUUUGCUUUGCCAUUGAGGAUUCUCUAUCUUGCAGCAGUAAUUUCCCCACAGCAAGUACCCUUUGCCCGGUUCACAGUAUAACAGUAUAGCUUAAUGCUGUUUUCCUUAGGCAGUGAUUGAGUCAUCUGUAACACACAAACUGUGGUAUGACAUUUUAAAUGAUUAAAAUAGCCACUCUAGCUUUCUUAAACAAUGUUUUUGUGGUGUAUCUUUUUUUCUUUUUUCACUUUGUGCAUACAUGUUGAGUUAGUUCUUUCUUUUGGAUCUUGUCUCAUAAUCUCUGCCUUUCAUUAUAUUGCUUAGACCAUUUACAUUGAAUAUAGUUAUUGACAUGGUUGUACUUAAGGAUGCCAUUUUGCUAUCUGGUGUCUAUUUGUCCCUUGCAUUUUUUGUUCCAUCUUUCUCCUUUCUUGCCUUAUUCCCUCUGAUUUUUUUAGUUUUGUAUUUCAAUUCCUCUUUUCACUUUUUAAUUUACGUUUUAUCUUAUUUUUAUUUAUUCCUCUAGGGAUUGAAGUAUACAGAUGGUCUCCAAUUUAUAAUGGUUGAUUUAUAAUGUUUCAAUUUUACAAUGAUGUGAAAACAGUAUGCAUUCAGUAGAAACUAUAGUUUGAGUACCCAUACAACCAUUCUUUUUUCCCAUUUCAGUACAGUAUUCAAUAACUUACAUGAGAUAUUCAAUACUGUUACAAAAUAGGCUUUUUGUUAGAUGAUAUUGUCUACCUUUAGGUUAAUGUAAGUGUUCUGAGCACAUUUAAGGUAGGCUAGGGAUGUUAGGUAUAUUAAAUGCAGUUUCAAUGUUAUAUCUUUAACUUAUAAUAGGUUCAUUGUGAUGCCACCCAUCAUAAGUCAAGGAGCAUCUGUACAUUUUCAUCACAGUCUACUUUAAUAUUGAAUUGUUUCAAAUAAAAUAUAGGAGCGCUGCAACAACAUAUUUCCAUUUACACUUCUCCCCUCAUCCUUGGUGGAGAGAGGUACAGGCAUAGAGAAUAGUGUUUGCAAAGGCAUGGAAACAAUUAAAAACACUCUAUAAUUGGAGACAAAGUCAUUCAGAAUGGUUGGAACAAAAACUGAGGAGAGAAAAGAGGCUGAAGAGGUAAUUAGAGGAACGAUUUGCAAGGGGGUUAUAAACUGUGAUAAGCUGUUUACACUUUAUCCUGAGAGCAAUGGCAAGCCAUUAAAGUGUUUUAUGCAAAAGAGUGAUAUGAUCAGAUUUACAUUUUGGAAAGAUUAAUCUGAAUCCAACAUGAAAAGCAGACUCACAGAAGGGAAAGACUUGAAGCAGAUAACUCGGGAGACUGUUGUGUUAAUUCAAGUCAGAAAAAAAUAGUGGUUACUCUCAGGGUCCUGGGCGUAGUGUUGGGUAAAUGGACAAAUUCAAGAGGUAUUCUGAGGCAGAAGAGAACUGCUUCACUAAGAGAGGAGAAGCGAAGAUUGUUUACACUUUUUUACAAUGAAGUGAGACCUGGUGUCCUUCACUGAGAUGGAGAACUUAAAGCAGCCGGAGGAAUUCCUGGUUCCCUCAAAUGUGUUCAUCACUAGACCAAGAUGUGUGGGGUCCCGGGCAGAUUAAUGAUUAUACCACUCCUCAAAAAUAUUUUUUGUAAUAGCUUUUAGAAUUUCUUUGAUAGGGUAGGGAAACAGAUUUGCAUUUGUAAUCAGAUGACUCUUUAUGUUCAACCUAAAAAUUUCAUAAUAUGCUUUAUGCUUUACUGUUUGUUUUUGAAUUGAUGGUAAAGUGUGAGUCGUUUUUUAUAAAUUCCAUUGUAGAGUACUGUCUUCCUUUGCAGAAUUUUCCCAAUCAACUUAUUACCAGUUAAAUAAAGAAACAGUUGGCAUCUUAUUUCUGAUUUAUUUCAGCAGUGGUUAAGAGAAAGUUUGUUUAUUGCUUACAUUCCUUAAUUUGGCUCUAAGUAUAUCUGCCAUAGAAGACAGUAUCUAGAUCAUGGCCAAAACUUAACUAAAAAGGAGCUCAACUAAGGUGGAUGAAUUUCAGCUCCAAAGAAAAGGACUGCCAAAAAAAGAAGGGUGGAUAAAUAUCUAGCAAGCCUCCUGCAGGUGAGGUGUCUAUACAUCUGGAACUCCUUGCCCAUUCUAUAAUGUCCUUUAGCUAGGCAAAAGUGGAUAAUUUGGGGCUAUAUCUCAUCAAUUUUUUGAUUAGCCUAGAAACGGUGGAGGAAUGUUGUGCUUUAUUAUUAUUCUCACAAAUAUUUCUCAGUUUUAGCCCAGAAGGCAAACUGCUGACUCCAUUUAGCUUUCACAGUCAGGAGAAGUCUGACAAUCAAAGUUUGCUCAUAAUGUCCAACUGUGACCAAGGUUUCACAAGAUGAACUUUGUUUCAUUUGGAAUAAAGCAGGAAACUGAAAUCCAUAGGGAGUUGACUAGGGCCUUUCCAUUAAUUCUGAUCCAAGGAAUUCUUAAGCACAAUGAUUAGUACCUUUUAAAACCUAGCAUGUGAAGUUGGAUAUUUUUAUACUUACACAUUUUUUGUAUGCUGGGUAUUUAUCCCCCACUUAUUCUAUUUAUGUAAGAAACACACAUCAAAACAUCAAGAAGUAGACUUAAAGAAGCAACAUAAAAGAGCUGAAACAGCAAAAAUUUGAGCUCACUCAUAUCUGGCCCAAAUUCUAAUUUUGACAUUUGUUAACUAUAGAACACAUUCAUCUAUGUCUAUGAUUCUCACUAUCUCCUCUGUGAAUUUUUGAUAAUACAGAAUAACUGUGAGCAUUAAAGAUGGUGUAUAUGGUGCCUAGCACAUAAAUAAUAGCUAUAAUUUUAUUUUGUAUAGGAUAAUGAUUUGGUUUGUUGAAGCAGUAAUUGUCAGGAUUGAAAGAAAACCAAAUAAAGGCAUGGAUUUCCUCUGAAGACAGGAGAACACUGCAGAAAGAUGUCCUCAAACAGAUGAUACAGUGAUAAGAGUGGAAGACCAGAAAAGAGAAAAGAUACUCAUAAUCACAGACCACAGAGAUGAAGACAAGAGGAGGCAUUUCAGGGUAACUCCUAAUGGGACGUAUCUGAGAAUUAAACCUCCCAGACAACCAAGAAGGUUUCCACUGCUGGGAAUAUUCACAUCUUUUUGGAUGACUAAUUAAUUACUUCAUGUGAUAGAGAGCUCGAAGGGCACUGAAGAGUAUAUGUGUAUGGGGGGGAGCGAGGGGGGG